UGGGGAAUAUUGCACAAUGGGCGCAAGCCUGAUGCAGCCAUGCCGCGUGUAUGAAGAAGGCCUUCGGGUUGUAAAGUACUUUCAGCGGGGAGGAAGGGAGUAAAGUUAAUACCUUUGCUCAUUGACGUUACCCGCAGAAGAAGCACCGGCUAACUCCGUGCCAGCAGCCGCGGUAAUACGGAGGGUGCAAGCGUUAAUCGGAAUUACUGGGCGUAAAGCGCACGCAGGCGGUUUGUUAAGUCAGAUGUGAAAUCCCCGGGCUCAACCUGGGAACUGCAUCUGAUACUGGCAAGCUUGAGUCUCGUAGAAGGGGGUAGAAUUCCAGGUGUAGCGGUGAAAUGCGUAGAGAUCUGGAGGAAUACCGGUGGCGAAGGCGGCCCCCUGGACGAAGACUGACGCUCAGGUGCGAAAGCGUGGGGAGCAAACAGG
rnacentral:rRNA from 1 species